GAUCAUGGCUCAGAUUGAACGCUGGCGGCAUGCCUAACACAUGCAAGUCGAACGGAGGUAGGGGCAACUCUACUUCAGUGGCGGACGGGUGAGGAAUGCGUCGGAAUCUACCCUAUGGUGGGGGAUAACACAGGGAAACUUGUGCUAAUACCGCAUGAUGUCGAGAGACCAAAGCAGGGGACCGCAAGGCCUUGCGCGAUAGGAUGAGCCGACGCCCGAUUAGCUAGUUGGUAGGGUAAAGGCCUACCAAGGCGACGAUCGGUAGCUGGUCUGAGAGGAUGAUCAGCCACACUGGGACUGAGACACGGCCCAGACUCCUACGGGAGGCAGCAGUGGGGAAUAUUGGACAAUGGGCGCAAGCCUGAUCCAGCAAUGCCGCGUGUGUGAAGAAGGCCUGCGGGUUGUAAAGCACUUUUGUUCGGGAAGAAAACGGAUCGGUUAAUACCCGGUUCGGAUGACGGUACCGAAAGAAUAAGCACCGGCUAACUUCGUG
rnacentral:rRNA from 1 species